rnacentral:rRNA from 1 species
GAUGAACGCUGGCGGCGUGCCUAAUACAUGCAAGUCGAGCGAACGGACGAGAAGCUUGCUUCUCUGAUGUUAGCGGCGGACGGGUGAGUAACACGUGGAUAACCUACCUAUAAGACUGGGAUAACUUCGGGAAACCGGAGCUAAUACCGGAUAAUAUUUUGAACCGCAUGGUUCAAAAGUGAAAGACGGUCUUGCUGUCACUUAUAGAUGGAUCCGCGCUGCAUUAGCUAGUUGGUAAGGUAACGGCUUACCAAGGCAACGAUGCAUAGCCGACCUGAGAGGGUGAUCGGCCACACUGGAACUGAGACACGGUCCAGACUCCUACGGGAGGCAGCAGUAGGGAAUCUUCCGCAAAGGGCGAAAGCCUGACGGAGCAACGCCGCGCGAGUGAUGAAGGUCUUCGGAUCGUAAAACUCUGUUAUUAGGGAAGAACAUAUGUGUAAGUAACUGUGCACAUCUUGACGGUACCUAGUCAGAAAGCCACGGCUAACUACGUG